rnacentral:rRNA from 1 species
GGUAUUCCAUGGGGCAUGCCUGUCUGAGCGUCGUUUC